CAAGACGUAGCUUAAACGAAAGCAUUCAGCUUACACCUGAAAAAUAUCUGCUAACACCAGAUCGUCUUGA
ensembl:Mt_tRNA